GGAAGGAUCAUUCGUACGAUUCUUUUUUCUUCUUUACAUAUACCCUUCAAUGAUGGAUGCCUUGGCUCAGCAGGCGAUGAAGAAUGCCGCAAUGCGCGUUUGGCCACUUGACUUGCUGAUGUUUGGAUAUGUGGAUUUUCUAAUAGUGAUUCUGCCUUUGAUUUUACGAAGGCAUUCUACUCACUGCCGAUAUCUUGCUGUGUGUGUGUUUUGUUUAUGUCUUUCUUCGCUGUAUUGUGUUUUUGUUUAUUUUUUCGCUGUGCUGUAGGAGGCUUACCCACUGAACUUAAGCAUAUUAGUAGGUGGAGGAAUUGAAACCAAGUGGGAUUUCCUUAGUAGUGGCGAACGAAGAGGAAUUUGCCGGCUCCUGGUGCAUUAGUGCAUUAUGGUUUUAUGUAUAUUGUUUACGUCCUUCUUAUUAAAUUACCUGGAAAGGUGUACCUUAGUCGGUGACAGUCCGUGAGUAAGUUGGUUUGUAAAACUAUGUAUUUAUUUAGUCGUGCUCAUUUGUAGUGGAGUGCAAAUUGGUGUUACACUCCAUCAAAGGCUAAUUAUACUGCUGAGACCGAUAGUGAACAAGUACCGCGAGGGAAAGGUGAAAAGUACUUUGUAUGAAGGGUUAAAAGGACCUGAAAUCAUUGUUGGUGAAGGAGGGUAGGAGCUCAUUAGUUUGUUGUUCGCGGCAGCUGCUGGCACUGGGUGCAUCUAUGCGUUGUAUAGUCACUGUCGCGUUUGCUUCAGUGUCUUUACUAUUCGCAUUGUUUGUACGUAUUUCGCAUGUCUUUGAUAGCUUUUUGCUUGUAGGGCUUGUUGCUUGUUUGUUCCUGCACUCGCCCGUCUUGAAACACGGACCAAGGAGUCCGCCUAUGGUGCGAGUAUAAGGAACUAUUUCUUAUGACGUAGUUGAAACGUGGGAACAUGAUUAUUGUUUUCUUAACUCAGUAACCUUGUCUUACAGCGCAUUUAUUUGUCGCGUUCAAUGAGUUCCAUGGUCGGGACCCGAAAGGUGGUGAACUAUGCUUGGGCAGGAUGAAGGCAGGGGAAACCCUGUUGGAGGUCCGAAGCGAUACUGACGUGCAAAUCGUUCGUCUGAUCUGAGUAUAGGGGCGAAAGACCAAUCGAACUACCUAAUAGCUGGUUCCCUC
rnacentral:misc_RNA from 1 species